rfam:Medicago truncatula strain A17 chromosome 3, whole genome shotgun sequence.
CCCUUAACUAUUAAAAGUUUUGUUUUGAUCCCUUAACUUAUUUUUUGGUUUCGUUUUGGUCCCUUAAAUUAUUUUUUGGUUUCGUUUUGGUCCCUUAACUCUAAUACAUUCAUCCUAGCAUAAAGGACCAAAGUGGUUGACGAAGGAAGAGUUAAGGGACCAAAACAAAACCUAAAAAUAAGUUAAGGGACCAAAACGAAACUUUUAAUAGUUAAGGGACCAAAACGAAACCAAAAAGUAAGUUAAGGGACCAAAACGAAACCAAAAAAUAAGUUAAGGGA